rnacentral:snRNA from 1 species
AUCGCUUCUCGGCCUUUUGGCUAAGAUCAAGUGUAGUAUCUGUUCUUAUCAGUUUAAUAUCUGAUACGUCCUCUAUCCGAGGACAAUAUAUUAAAUGGAUUUUGGAGCAGGGAGAAUAGGAGCUUGCUCCGUCCACCUACGCAUCGACCUGGUAUUGCAGUACCUCCAGGAACGGUGCACCUCUC